rnacentral:lncRNA from 1 species
CAUAUUAGCAACCUCGGCCUCCGUCCUCCUCACCAUCUCCUCCAAGGCGGCCUUCUGUUCCACCGAGGUUUGUUUCUCCCUCUCAAGCACUUCUCGAAGACCGGCCGCCUCGAGGGCCAAUUCCUUAAGGUGGGCAGCCUCGGCCUGCUGACCUUCCACUGCCUUGUUUGUCAUCUCAAUGUUGGCGAGGAGUUGGUGUCCGAGCUGCAAGGGCG